rnacentral:lncRNA from 1 species
CUUCAAAUCAGUAAAGGUAUAUACUGUUCUAAACUUGUAAAUAUAUUGCUGCCUCCAAACACAUAUGCCAUAUGCCUAUCCAUGGACAAGAUCACAAGCCAGAGAACUUUCAGCAGCUGUGUCUUAUUAUUCACAUAUGGCCCAGAUGCUACACAACUUACACAAAGAAGGGGAUAAGCUGUGUAUGAACUUUCCUGCUCUGCAACUCUUGAUCUUUUGUUGUUAGUUUAUGUUUCCUAUAUUUUGAAGGCUGGCCGUUAACCACUGGUCCAUGUUGUUCAUUGCUACUACAUAAAUGGCAUUGGGUCUGCACUGAUGUGGUCCUUAGUUCCUUACCAAAGGCAUGACCAUGAGAGUUCUCAUUGGUGGGGUCUUUGUGCCAAAUGAUUCCAUAUGUAUC